GCCUGGGGGGCUCAGUCGGUUAAGCGUCCGACUUCGGCUCAGGUCAUGAUCUCACAGUUUGUGGGUUCGAGUCCCACCUCGGGCU
rnacentral:tRNA from 1 species